rnacentral:rRNA from 1 species
UACGUGGUGGGCAAACGUUGUUCGGAAUUACUGGGCGUAAAGCGUGUGUAGGCGGUUCUUUAAGUCGGGGUGAAAGCCCGUUGCUCAACAACGGAACUGCCCUGGAAACUGGCGAACUUGAGUACAGACGAGGGUGGCGGAAUGGAUGGUGUAGCGGUGAAAUGCAUAGAUACCAUCCAGAACCCCGAUUGCGAAGCAGACGUGCCUAG